AUGGAUUUUCGAGACGUGCAUAGUUCCAACUUGGCCAUGUUGGCCAAACAGUGUUGGGGAUUGACCAAGAACAGCGAGUCAUUAUGCGCAAGAGUGUUGAGAUCUAGAUAUUAUCCCACUGGUGAUAUUCUUAAUUGUGAGUUGAACAAGGGCUCCUCGUAUGUAUGGAGAAGUAUACGGGCAAGUAUACAAACAUUCAAGAAAGAUUGCAUAUGGAGAGUAGGGUACGGUGCAAAUAUAAACACAUGGUCUGAUUGUUGGAUCCCCAAUAGCUUCUCAAGGAAAGUGGUGACUGUACGAGGUAACCAACUGCUUACAAAAGUAAUUGAUCUUAUAGACCCAAUAACAGGAGAGUGGGAUGGCAUAUAG
rnacentral:rRNA from 1 species